GGUCUGGUGGUGUAGUUGGUUAUCACGUCAGUCUAACAGCUCGAAAGAGUCUCUCAUGCCUCUCUCGUCUGCCACACUGAAGGUCUCCGGUUCAAGUCCGGGCUAGAUCA